ACACACAUAACACACACAAAGCUUUUUCUCUCAAAUUAAUCAUCUUGGCAAGGAGAAAUCUUAAGGGGAAAUUAAAAGGGUUUAAAUCUUUUAGUGGAUAAUCAAGGUGUUAUCACAAUAAUCAUCAUCAUCUUCUUCAUUUUCUUCAAUUAUCUUCAAGAACUUCAAUUUUUGGUUUUGGAUAGACGUGGAGAUUAGACUGCUCAUUUUCUCGGACUACUCAUAUCCUAGCUCUUUGAUCGCUAAGGGAACCAACAGUAAGUAGUGGAAGUGUAUAUGGUAUUUUAGAAGCCAUCUUUUGAACUUUGGACAUACAAUUAGUGUCAGACCUCUGAGGAAUAUCGUAUUAUUAGUCCUAAUUCUACUAGACUCUCCAAAUGUUAUUAUUGUAUUCAGUGGGCCCUUUUCCAAUUGAGGAUAGUUUGUAUCCGUGUAUUGGGGUCCACAUCUGAACGGUUGUACUUGUAAUAAACUCGUAUUUGGAUUCAUGGAUGUAAUCUCUAUUUACCUUCUGAUUA